rnacentral:rRNA from 1 species
CCUACGGGAGGCAGCAGUGGGGGAUAUUGCACAAUGGGGGGAACCCUGAUGCAGCGACGCCGCGUGGGUGAAGGAGUUCUUCGGCAUGUAAAGCUCUAUCGGCAGGGAAGAAGCAAGACGUUACCUGAUUAAGAAGCCCCGGCUAACUCUGGGCCAGCAGCCGCGGCAAUACGGAGGGGGCGAGCGUUAUCCGGAUUCACGGGGGGUAAAGGGAGCGUAGACGGGCAUGCAAGCCAGGGGUGAAAGCCCGUGGCACAACCCCGGUACUGCCGGUGGAACUGGAUGGCUGGAGUGCGGGAGAGGCAAGUGGAAUUCCAGGUGUAGCGGUGAAAUGCGGAGAUAGAAGGAGGAACACCGGCGGCGAAGGCGGCCUGCUGGACCGCGACUGACGUUGAGGCUCGAAAGCGUGGGGAGCGAACAGGAUUAGAUACCCGGGUAGUC